rnacentral:lncRNA from 1 species
CAUUGUAGUAUUAUUUUCAGUUUGUUUAUUUUGUCCACCCUCCAAGAUAAGACGUGCAAGAGACAUAGUUUCUGUAAUAGCCACUGCUGUAAAAACACUGAAGACUACUUGUUUGCCAAACCUAAACCAAACCCCCAAAAAACUGAAAAAAGCACCCUGAAAAUCAUCCAGUUGAAUAGAAAGACUGCUCAUUACAGUGUUCCAGAUCCUCCUGUCAUCAGCUGCCCUGCCCACAAAAAUAUACAUCACCCCUGCUUGGUGCAUUUGAAGACAAACAUCUGAUGGGUCAAUUUGCCCAGAGUUUUAUGCUCCCUUAGUCAGGUACGUGGUGGCACCUCUCAGGGCCCACAUGG